GACGAACGCUGGCGGCGUGCUUAACACAUGCAAGUCGAACGGAAAGGCCCUGCUUGCCGGGUACUCGAGUGGCGAACGGGUGAGUAACACGUGGGUGAUCUGCCCUGCACUUCGGGAUAAGCUUGGGAAACUGGGUCUAAUACCGGAUAGGAACCAUCUUUAGUGUGGUGGUUGGAAAGUUUUUUCGGUGUAGGAUGAGCUCGCGGCCUAUCAGCUUGUUGGUGGGGUAAUGGCCUACCAAGGCGGCGACGGGUAGCCGGCCUGAGAGGGUGUACGGCCACAGUGGGACUGAGAUACGGCCCAGACUCCUACGGGAGGCAGCAGUGGGGAAUAUUGCACAAUGGGCGCAAGCCUGAUGCAGCGACGCCGCGUGGGGGAUGAAGGCCUUCGGGUUGUAAACUCCUUUCGCUAGGGACGAAGCGUUGUUGUGACGGUACCUAGAGAAGAAGCACCGGCUAACUACGUG
rnacentral:rRNA from 1 species